AAUGGGAGAAGUGAUGAACAAAGGGGGAGAAUGGUAAAAGAAUCAAUUGAAUGUAAAACUUUAUAUUAUCGUGGAAUGUUUUGCAGGAUUUCAAGACUUCAAGACUCCUAGUUGCAUCUAAGUCAUAGAGUCUGUUUUAGGAGUUUUGAAUGUAUUUUGAGUUUUAAUUUGUAUUUGGAUUACACGCGAUAGGUUCAUUAUUUUGGUGAUGACAAUUGAACUUCGUCUUUCCUUUAAAUGUAAUGUUUGUGUUUUGAGUGUGUUUUGUCACAAAAUUGCCAAUGGGGGAGAUUGUUAGGUCCUAUAUGUUGGCAAGUUUGUGGGUCGAGUUGGAAUCCUGAAGAAGUCCAGAGCGGAGUAUUGAAGAUCGAAGAAUCCAAGACUUCGAAGAAUCGGAAAGGACGCAAAACACGCAAAACUUGAAUCACGAUGCUUAGGUAAGCUUUAAAUCUUGUUUAUGGUGAUUCAUACUUAAUUAUAGAUCUUAGAAUCAUAAUUUUCAACUUGUAAUUGAUUAGAAAGUUUCUAAGAGCUUGUAAAACUCGAAACAAUGCAUCUUCAGUGAAAAUUGCAUUGUUGUACCGGUACAAGGGUUUUUCUGUACCGGUACAGACAACGGCUAUUGCCGCAGGGAAUUACGAUGGUUGUUCCGGUACAACCAUCAUGGCUGUACCGGUACAAGCCUUGUUCCGGAACAAGCUGCAGUCUGUUCAGGGUACAGAAGCUUCGCAGAAAAAUCUUCCGUCAUGCUGUACCGUGGACAGCUUCCCGUGUA
rnacentral:lncRNA from 1 species